rnacentral:rRNA from 1 species
GACGAACGCUGGCGGCGUGCCUAAUACAUGCAAGUAGAACGAGUUGCGAACGGGUGAGUAACGCGUGGUAACUGCCUCAUAGCGGGGGAUAACAGUUGGAAACGACUGCUAAUACCGCAUACGAUUGGAUUGCCCAGGUGGGGUUAGCUAGUUGGUCAGGUAAUGGCUCACCAAGGCGACGAGCCCUAGCUGGUCUGAGAGGAUGAUCAUGCGCACGGUAACUGAGACACGGUCCAGACUCCUACGGGAGGCAGCAGUGGGGAAUAUUGCACAAUGGGGGAAACCCUGAUGCAGCCGUGCAGCGUGUGUGAAGAAGGCCUUCGGUUUGUAAAGCACUUUCAGCGAGGAGGCGUUACUCGCAGAAGAAGCACCGGCUAACUCCGUGCCAGCAGCCGCGGUAAUUC